UACAGAGGAGCCAAGCGUUGUCCGGAUUGACUGGGCGUAAAGCGCACGCAGGCGGCGGCGCGCGUGGGGUGUGAAAUCUGGCCGCUUAACGGCCAGGCGCCAUCCCAUACGGCGCGGCUGGAGGGAUGCAGAGGUCGAUGGAAUUGCCGGUGUAGUGGUGAAAUGCGUAGAGAUCGGCAGGAACACCCAGGGGGAAACCAGUCGACUGG
rnacentral:rRNA from 1 species